rnacentral:lncRNA from 1 species
GAAACAAAGAAUGGUAUAAAGAGUCACACAGCGCAGCAUCACUUACUCUGGCUUUUGAAACAGGAAGAAGUAUUUCCCAAGUGCUUGGACGGAUGGGCCAAAGAAAUAGUAAGGGUACAGCUCACGCACAGGUAUGAUAAGGCCCUGACGCAGUACUCUGAAUGGAGAUGACAGCUGAUCAAGUAACCUCAUUUCAAAGGACCGUUGGAGAUGCAUGUGUUUCAGAGAUUCAGAGGACCAGCAUCCCUGUUUCUCCAAUUCACUGUCAAGUUCUUCAUGAGCAACUCAUGCUAAAAGUUUGAAGUCUGUGAUGAAAGCUGACAUGGUCACCAACCUCUCCUCUUCCAACGUGGGCUCAGUUACACACUGUCAACCUGCAUGACCUCCGCUCUGGACAUGAGUUUGCUUCGGCGGUUCCAUUCACCAUGCAGCUAUGAGAAGGCCCAAGUGCACACACCGCUCAGAGAGCACCUGGAGCCUCUCAAAGGCAGCAUCUGUGGGCCACGGUCAAACCUGGGGGCAUUGGUAGGGGUUCGUCCUUCUCCCAUCCUGUGGGGUUUAUGUGUAUAUGGUAGGAAAAGAAAUCCAUCACCUUCACUCUUCUCAGAAAAACAGAUGAAAGAAGAAGCACUUUCCUGUUCUGGAUGUUCCACAUUCGGAUCCAUCCAAACCACAGUGGACACAUCUCCUAGAACAACAUUAUCCCCAUCCCAGCAGAGUUAA